UGAAACUGCUAAUGGCUCAUUAAAUCAGUUAUAGUUUAUUUGAUAGUACAUUACUACUUGGAUAACCGUGGUAAUUCUAGAGCUAAUACAUGCUAAAAAUCCUGACUUCUGGAAGGGAUGUAUUUAUUAGAUAAAAAACCAAUAGCUCCGCAA
rnacentral:rRNA from 1 species